CGCAGCCUACGGGACGCAGCAGUGGGGAAUAUUGGGCAAUGGGCGCAAGCCUGACCCAGCAACGCCGCGUGAAGGAAGAAGGCUUUCGGGUUGUAAACUUCUUUUCUCAGGGACGAAGAAAGUGACGGUACCUGAGGAAUAAGCCACGGCUAACUACGUGCCAGCAGCCGCGGUAAUACGUAGGUGGCAAGCGUUAUCCGGAUUUAUUGGGUGUAAAGGGCGUGUAGGCGGGCGCGCAAGUCAGAUGUGAAAACUCAGGUCU
rnacentral:rRNA from 1 species